rnacentral:snRNA from 1 species
AUCACACCUUUGUGAAAUAUUGUUAGGUGGGAAGUAGGAGAACAGCUCAGGACAAGUGUAGUUUCUGUUCUUAUUAGUUUAAUACCUGAUAGGCCCCCUGGGGGGGGCGGGGGGGACUGUGUAUUAAAAUGAUUUUUUGUAUGCGGAGCUGGAUCAGGGACUUUCCUCUUCCACUCCUACAUUGACCUUGUAUUGCAGUUUUUCCAGAACCAGUGCACCACCC